rnacentral:rRNA from 1 species
UACGUAGGGGGGCUAGCGUUGUCCGGAUUUAUUGGGCGUAAAGAGCGUGUAGGCGGCCGGGUAAGUCCGGUGUGAAAACUCGAGGCUUAACCUCGAGAUGUCAUCGGAAACUAUUCGGCUAGAGUCCGGAAGAGGAGAGUGGAAUUCCUGGUGUAGCGGUGAAAUGCGCAGAUAUCAGGAAGAACACCUAUGGCGAAAGCAGCUCUCUGGGACGGUACUGACGCUGAGGCGCGAAAGCUAGGGGAGCGAACAGG